UUAGGGAUUUGGUUGUGUAACAAACACGUGUCUAAACUCCUCUAUCUUGGGAGAGGAAACUCAGCAUUUUUAAGCCGUAGCAGCGCUGCACAUGAGUGGACUAUUACAGGCUAUGCCACAGGACUGUCCACCCUUUGACAGGUACUGCUGAUGAUACUCCUCAGCUCUGUAGAAUUUCUUAGCUGGUAGAAUCUCAGUCAUGAUCUUACUCUCCAUUUGUUGCUGGUGACGUUCCAUUGACUCUGCCGCUUGUUUCUCCUGCUCAGGUGUGUAGAAGUAUAUCCCUGAUCUGUAUUGGGUUCCCACAUCUUUUCCCUGAUAACAGUUCAAGUCAUUAGCCACGGUAAAAGUAGUCAAGGGAUAGUUUCACUACAUAGAUAUGUUAUUAUAAUAAGUAUUGUUCUCUAUCUAAAGUCUUAAAACUUUAAAAAUUUAGCAAUCUCCAACAUAAAAAGUUUAAAUCCUGGGACCAAAUUAAGAGAAACCCAUAAUGUACCUGGCGAUUCAAGGUGGUGGGGUCAUGUCUAGACCAGAAGACAUCAAGCAGAGACUCAAAGUUGCACUCUUUGGGAUCAUACUGAACCCUGACAACCUCUGCAUGGUUCGUUGUGUUCGUGCAGACAUCCUCGUAUGAAGGAUUGUGGAGGAACCCUUGGGUGUAUCCAACCUCCGUAUGAGUCACACCGGAGACUCUCUGAAACGCCAGCUCCACGCCCCAGAAGCAUCCAGCGGCGAACUGUGCAAACUCAUUUCCCGGCGCCGGAGCGUCAUUGUCGUUUCCCUGAGUGAUAGAAGAAAGAUUCAUGGCGAAGUUUUCUAGAGAGAAAAAAAAGUUUUUAGAGAGAAUAUUUAAGUUUAUUAUGUAAUUGCAUCCAGAUACCCUCCUCCAUACAUGAACUAUAUAUACCACCUGUAAUCCUGUAUAGUUAACCUUAGAGUGUAUAUACUAUUUAUUCCUGUCCAUAUACACGAUCUAUAAAUAUCACAUGCAUAGUUAUCACUAAAGACAAUAUUAGAGUGUAUAUGCUAUGUAAUUCCGUCCGGAUACACUCCAGACAUGAUCUAACUAUAAAUAUCACGUGUUAGAUAACGUUAUUUGACCCAAAAAAAAAAGAUAACGUUAAGAGUGUUUAUAUUAUGUACUUCCGUCCAGAUACACUCCAUAACUAUGAAUAUCACGUGUUAGUUAACAAUCACAGGUGACGAGGCAGGUGUAUCUAAUAACUUAGACUCUUCUUGAGCUAUAGAAGGAUCCAUUUUGGUAGAUUCAUAUGAGAAAAAAUCAGUCACUUGUUUAUAUAGGAAGAGUCAGUCAGAGAUUAACACCACCUAUGACCUACAUAAAGGCUGAAUAGCUUUUUUAUUGGCACACAAGAAAAAUACAUAAUAUUUUGGUGAAUUAUGUUUUUGAUAAGAUGUCUACAGAAUAUUUAUAAAAACAAAAAAAAAUCUACCCACCAUUCUAUAAAAGUCACAUUUAUUCUAUAUUAAAGAUAUAAAAUCAAAAUUGACAAUAAGAAACUUUAUGAGACUUUAGCCAUAAGUGUCUUAGAAAGUAUUAGCGGAAAUUAGAUUUAUACAGUUUGUUGAUUUCAAAAGUAUGGAGAUUUGUUGAAUUUGGAAAUAAUUUGAAAAAAUUGUGUACAUUUUAAAAUCUAUGAAAACAAAUAAUCUUAAUAAUUUUAAGAAUCUAUAAACCAAUAACGCUACAUUUUUGAAAUUCUAACAAUUAUUACAAUGUAACUCCCAUUAAAGUGAAACUAUAUAAGUGGCCUAAAGUGAAAUCAACUCAAACUCUAUCAGACUUUUUCUUUUCUCAUCCACAAGAUUCGCUCGAUCAUUCAAGAAAAUAAACAAAUAAUUGUAUAAAAACGUUACUCAUGCAAAAGAAAGUUAUUGGUUACAUUCCUAUUAGAGAUAGCAAUGUUUGGCUGGUGUUCAUUUUGUGUAACAUACACUGUUACAGAAUUGCAAAUAAAAGUUACAUACGUGUUGUCUAACCAACCUCAUCAGUUUUACAUUCACAAGUCUACGAUAUCCUCUGUUUAGGGAGAUAAGCAGAGGAACUCAGCUCUUUAGCUAGCCGUAGCAGCAAACUGAACCGUUGCAGGCUUUGCCACAGGACAAACAUCGUUAUUAUUUCUUUCUCUGUUUUUAAAUAAAAUGAAUAACUAACAGAAUAAAAUAAAAGAUAUUAUUGAGUUUUUUGUGAUUUAUUCAUUUCGAAAUUUUCAAAAAAAAGUUGUAACACUUUCACAUCUUUGUUAUGAACUGUGAAUUAUAAUCAACAACACACACACAUACAGAGAACACUCCUCUGUUUUGGUAGGAAAAGGAACAAAGAAGGAAUUACCCGAGGUGUAUCUACUAACUUAGAGCAUCUUUAUCCCCACCUCUUAAGUGGGUUCUUAAGAGGUGGAUCCCACAUUUUUGUUAAAACUCCUUUCUUCCUCCUCUUAUUAAGAGGCAAGUUUGUUGGAAUUUUUGUACUGUUCGUGAACUUACUGACAUAUGGCCGUCGCGAUAGAUUAAUUUUUAAUUUUUUUAAAAAAGUAAAAAAUAAAAAAAUAAGAACUUAAACGGAGUUUUAGGGAUAAUGAUGCUCUUAGGCUCUUCUUGAGCUGUCAAAGGAUCCAUUUUGCUAGAUCACUAUGUGAAAGAAAGGAUCAGAUUGGUGAUGUUGUUAAAGUGUUGUAUUGUUGUUGAUGGUGAAGAAAAUGGCAAUAUGAGAAACCUUAUCCAUCAUAUUAUUUUUUUCAUCCAUAAGAUUCGCUCAAAUCUAAAGAAUCAAUAAUUCAAUAACAUCAAUACAUUUAUAUAGUCUCUAACAUUGAAACACGAAAGUAACUUGUUACACUUAUUAGGCAUUUGGUUGAUGCUCAUAUUGUGUAGCAAACAAGUCUCUAACGUCCUCUAUUUUGGGAGAUAAGCAGAGGAAACUCAGCAUUUUUAAGCCGUAGCAGCGCUGCACAUGAGUGGACUGUUGCAGGCUAUGCCACAGGACUGCCCACCCUUUGACAGGUACUGCUGAUGAUACUCCUCAGCUCUGUAGAAUUUCUUAGCUGGUAGAAUCUCAGUCAUGAUCUUACUCUCCAUUUGUUUCUGGUGACGUUCCAUUGACUCCACCGCUAGUUUCUCCUGCU
rnacentral:lncRNA from 1 species